GACGAACGCUGGCGGCGUGCUUAACACAUGCAAGUCGAACGGAGAAUUUAUUUCGGUAAAUUCUUAGUGGCGAACGGGUGAGUAACGCGUGGGCAACCUGCCCUUCAGAUGGGGACAACAUCCCGAAAGGGGUGCUAAUACCGAAUACGAUCACGCUGCCGCAUGGCGGUGUGAUGAAAGAUGGCCUCUAUAUAUAAGCUAUCGCUGAAGGAUGGGCCUGCGUCUGAUUAGCUAGUUGGUGGGGUAACGGCCUACCAAGGCGAUGAUCAGUAGCCGGUCUGAGAGGAUGAACGGCCACAUUGGGACUGAGACACGGCCCAAACUCCUACGGGAGGCAGCAGUGGGGAAUAUUCCGCAAUGGACGAAAGUCUGACGGAGCAACGCCGCGUGAGUGAUGAAGGUUUUCGGACUGUAAAACUCUGUUGUUUAGGACGAAAGUGCCUGUUGCAAACAGUUGCAGGUAUUGACGGUACUGAACGAGGAAGCCACGGCUAACUACGUGCCAGCCGCCGCCGUAACAC
rnacentral:rRNA from 1 species